GUCAAUUAUCGUCAGGAGUUUUCCACCAUAAAAAUUAGAAGUAGAACUGCCCCACGAUUGGUGCUGAGCAUUAAAAUCGCCCAUUACGAGAAAAGGUUUAGGUAAAAUUGAAAAUAAUUGUUCUAGUUGUGAAUAUAUUUGGCAUGUAGGAUCAGGAAUAUAUAAAGUAACAAAACAGAUACCAUUUAUAAUUAUAGCAGCUGCAUUAAUGCCGCUAUAUACAGGAAGCGAAAAAGAAGAAAAAAGAAGGGAGUUUUUGACCAAUAUGGUAACACCGCCAUAUCCGUCAGCUCUAUCAUCACGGAGACUUGUAAAGCCUGAAAUCCUAAAAGGAUAUCCUGGCUUUAACCAAGUCUCUUGUAGAGCUAUUAUAAAAGGAUUAUAUUUAUUAAUCAAAUAAAAUAAGUCUGAUUUCUUAUUUGUUAUGCUACGACAGUUCCACUGAAUUAUUUGGACUUUGUAAUCCAUUGUGAGAAGUUAAUAAUUGAGAAAAUACAUUGUACAUGGCAUCGUUGGACGGUGGUAAAGUUGAAAGAAGAUUGAAAAUGAGAUUUAUUGGAAGGAGAUGAUGAUGUUAAUACAUCUGAAUAUAGUUUAGAAGUUGGAGGAUGAAAUUUUGAUGCUUCAGCAUAAGAAACACAACUAUGGGCCAUUGUUUCUUUAAUGGCUUUCUGACGUGCAUAUUCAGGACAUUUUUUACUAAUUGCUGAAUGAGAACCAUUACACAAGAUACAAGAAACAUUUUCCUCAUCUACUUCACAUUUAUCACCUGUAUGAUUUUGCCUGCAUUUAUAACACCGAGGAUUUGAACGACACUGCAUCUUGACAUGUCCGAACCUACAGCAGUUAUAGCAUUGGAUAGUAGGGUAAAUGUACAAAUCUACAGUUAAUGAUGUGUAAAACAUAAAUACUCUUUUUGGCAAUAUUUGUCCAUCAAAAGUAAUAACAAUGGUUUCAGUAUUAAUAAAACUUGGUUGUCCUUCA